rnacentral:rRNA from 1 species
UACGUAGGGGGCUAGCGUUAUCCGGAAUUACUGGGCGUAAAGGGCGUGUAGGCGGUUAUUUAAGUCAGGUGUGAAACACCACGGCUCAACCGUGGGGUUGCACUUGAAACUGGAGGACUUGAGUGCAGGAGAGGAGAGCGGAAUUCCCGGUGUAGCGGUGAAAUGCGUAGAUAUCGGGAAGAACACCAGUGGCGAAGGCGGCUCUCUGGCCUGCAACUGACGCUGAGGCGCGAAAGCUAGGGUAGCGAACGGGAUUAGAUACCCCUGUAGUCCCUGAG